CCUACACUACCAACCAACUGUCUACUAAAUGAGCUACUCACUUGAGGAAAUCCUUCCAUCUCGAGUUCUCUGCAGUACAAGGCUAAAUAGGGUCCUGAGAUGAGGCACCUGUGACAGGGAGGGGUGCAAAACCAAGGAGCUGGCUAGACUCCUAAAUAUAUAUAUAUAUGGGAAAACAAGGGGCUGGCUGCACUCACCUGAACAUGCUUAAAUGGGGUGCUGCUGGGGGCCAAUAAGUACAGUAAAAAUGAAAAUCCAGUGCACUCCCUUAUCUACUAAACUGUUACUUAGGUGCUGAGAG